CUUGUUGGUGGGGUAAUGGCCUACCAAGGCGACGACGGGUAGCUGGCGUGAGAGCGUGGCCAGCCACACUGGGACUGAGACACGGCCCAGACUCCUACGGGAGGCAGCAGUGGGGAAUCUUGCACAAUGGGCGCAAGCCUGAUGCAGCGACGCCGCGUGAGGGAAGAAGGCCCUCGGGUUGUAAACCUCUUUCGGCAGGGAAGAAGCCGCAAGGUGACGGUACCUGCAGAAGAAGCCCCGGCUAACUACGUGCCAGCAGCCGCGGUAAGACGUAGGGGGCGAGCGUUGUCCGGAUUUAUUGGGCGUAAAGAGCGCGUAGGCGGCCCGUUAAGUCGGAUGUGAAAACCCGGGGCUCAACCCCGGGCCUGCAUCCGAUACUGGCGGGCUUGAGGCAGACAGGGGAGAGCGGAAUUCCUGGUGUAGCGGUGAAAUGCGCAGAUAUCAGGAGGAACACCGGUGGCGAAGGCGGCUCUCUGGGUCUGUCCUGACGCUCAGGCGCGAAAGCUAGGGGAGCAAACAGGAUUAGAUACCCUGGUAGUCCUAGCCGUAAACGUUGGGUGCUAGGUGUGGGGCGGCGAUUGACCCGCUCUGUGCCGAAGCUAACGCAUUAAGCACCCCGCCUGGGGAGUACGGCCGCAAGGCUAAAACUCAAAGGAAUUGACG
rnacentral:rRNA from 1 species